rnacentral:pre_miRNA from 1 species
GGGGGGAGGCCGGAUCCUGGGCUGUGUCCCCGGUACCCUGUGCUCCCGGGCCUGUGCUGUUGGAUUCGUGCUCCCCGCCAGGCAGUCCUGU